rnacentral:rRNA from 1 species
AGUGAACGCUGGCGGUAUGCCUAAUACAUGCAAGUCGAACGGCCGCACAGGAAGCUUUCUCCCCUACGGUUGGCGACUGACGGGCGGGUAAGACGUAGAUCGCAUUCUACUUUUUCUUGGGGGACUUCGUGGGGACACUGAUGCUAAUACCUCAUAUAUUCUACGGCUUAAUUCAGUAGUGCUUGGGACUUUUCCUGAUACAUUUAGCUGAAUCCGCGCCGCAUUAGCUAGUUGGUAAGGUAACGGCUCACCAAGGCAACGAUGCGUAGCCGACCUGAGAGGGUGAUCAGCCACACUGGAACUGAGACACGGUCCAGACUCCUACGGGAGGCAGCAGUGGGGAAUCUUCCACAAUGGGCGAAAGCCUGAUGGAGCCAUGCCGCGUGAGUGAUGAAGGUCUUCGGAUUGUAAAACCCUUUUGUUAGGGAAGAAAAACAGCGUAUGAAACUACGGACGUCUUGACGGUACCCAAACAGAAAGCCACGGCUAACUUCGUG